rnacentral:misc_RNA from 1 species
GCUUGUCACAAUUCACAACCUGGAACCCAUUUCGCCACUUGCCCACCUGUAUAUCUCAGAGUGAGUCUUCUCAAAGCUCAGCUCUAUAAAUCUCUUCUCAAUUUACCGUAAUAUGUGCUUGUUAAUGCCAAAUAUUAAUUAUGACAAGCUCAAAACAGAGCAAGGUUAUGUACUUGGUAGCCUGUAGGCUGUAGCCCGGUACUUUUUCUUGGAAUGUAGAAACUUUCUUCGGCCUUUUUGAAUUCUACUAAUUAAACUGUCAUAGGUUGGGCCUGAAGAUAUGUACAUAGAUAGAAAUUUUGGUGAAUAGUUGGCCCAGAACACUGGCUUGCUGUUUUUCUACUCAUCCUUGUGAUGAAACAGUUUCCACACAUACAAAUACAAUCCUGAGACAUAUAAUAUCUUGCAAAGAAGCAAAAGCUUACAAACUUCUUUCUCAUAUGGAUACAAAAUUACAACUGGUACAUUAUCAUCUUUUUCUGCUCUCUUCCACUCAAUCAAUCUCACAAUGUCCACCUCACAAUUCCUCUUUAAAAAGGCUACUACCCUCCCCAAAAAAAACCCACCAAGCUUCUGAAUUAGUAGUUUGUGGCUAUAACUAUGGCUUCCAAGAAGCUCCUCGCCUGCAUUUUGGUCCUCUCCCUCCUUCUCUCCUCAGAAUUCUCUAAUGGUUGUGAUCCUUGCAAGCCCAAGCCUAAGGAAACUUGCCCCAGAGACGCAUUGAAGCUAGGGGUUUGCGCAGACCUGCUCGGACUGGUUAAUGUUGUAGUUGGCAGUCCUCCUUCAGACAACAAGUGUUGUGCUUUGCUUGCAGGUUUGGCUGACUUAGAAGCUGCUCUUUGUCUAUGCACUGCCAUUAAAGCUAAUGUGCUUGGAAUCAACUUGAACGUGCCGGUUACACUAAGCUUGCUCAUUAGUACAUGUGCAAAAUCCAUUCCUCCUGGCUUCCAAUGUCCAUAAAAAUAAUAAAUGAGCGAUCUGGCCAUUAAUUUCUGCUUUGUGUGCUAAUAUAGUUUAAUUGGUGCGUUAAUCUGUGAGAGCUUUCUUUUUCGGUUGCUUUAAAGAAAGGCCAGUAAUUUUUUUUUCUUUUUUCUAAUAUUUGAACGUGUGAUUUUUUUCAAUAACUAGGCAAGUCUAUGUUGCCUCUAAUAUUUGAUGUGUGAUUUGUUCUAAUAACUAGGCAAGUCUAUCUUGUCUAGCAGAUUAUUGUAUACACUGAGUUCAAUGCUCCCUCACUUAUAAAGUGUGGACUCUCUAUGAAUUAAGGAGGGUAAACCCCACAUAAAUAUAAGUAAGAGUGUAUGUACAUUAGAUGUACUGAAUAUUCUCCCUCCCUUGUUGCUUUAAUAUGGUGUAUUUAUUUUCUUUUUUUUUUUUGUGAUUAAUGUAAGUUAUCACUCCAUUUCUUCUGUAUUAUUAAUUAUACUUUGUAUACAUACUUUGUAACAAUUUAUGGAUGAAUUUUGAAAAAUGGGCUUAAAAAAUAUGACGUGUGAAAAUCCACAUGAAAACUCAAAGCUUAUAGAAAUUUGAAGUGUAUUAAAUCAUUAAAGCUCUGUUUGGUUGAGCCAUCGAAUGCAACUAAUAGCUAUUAGCUGAUAGCUAUUACUGUUAGCUUAUAGCUGAUAACUGAUAGCUGAUG